rfam:Nakamurella multipartita DSM 44233, complete genome.
CGGAAAGGUGCUCCUGGUUCUGGUUCGAUUGGUCCCUCAGCAAGACCUAUCUUCCCAGGUCAGAGCACCUUUCCUCAUGAUCAACACUCUGCCGAUCAGAAUUACGAUGAAAG